ACGACUCUCGGCAACGGAUAUCUCGGCUCUCGCAUCGAUGAAGAACGUAGCGAAAUGCGAUACCUGGUGUGAAUUGCAGAAUCCCGCGAACCAUCGAGUCUUUGAACGCAAGUUGCGCCCGAGGCCACACGGCCGAGGGCACGCCUGCCUGGGCGUCACGC
rnacentral:rRNA from 1 species